CGCACGCAGACGAUGGGAUGUAAACAGUAAUGGCGGCUCCUUGACAGAAGUCAUGAGGCGCAUUUAUGUUGUAGCUGCUGCUUAGCUGCAGUGGAACAUCGUGUGCGCGAUGUUAAAUUGCUGUGUGUGUUCAAUGAGCAUCAAUCAAAUUACUACCAGAAAAAAACAUAGUAAGGCAUUCGGUUCACGCUGGAAGACGUCUGGCUUCACAGGGCCGUCCGGCGUGUCAGCCUGCAGUCGCGGUUCCCUCUAGCUCACUGUCGCGGAUAGUCCGACCAGCUCCUUCCGAAGCGAUCUUAGUAUCCGUCGCCCAUUAUCUCGGUGGGUAAGGGGGGCUUUGCACUGUUUCCUCCUUCCCUGUUCUCCUUCCCUUCUGUAUUUGUUUGUCUGCAGCUGUAGCUCCGUAAUUAUCUCCUUCGGUUUGCGACCGGCGUUUAUGCUCAGCGCAAUGAGCGCAUCUCUCCAGUAAACCAUUGGUAUUAAACUUUAAAUAUUGUAGCGCCGGCGAGAUGGUUCCGUAUAACGGAUCCCAGUAAGUGAGCCGAGUAUGCUGGGAGAUGUCUGUAAAUAACCGGUGUUUUUGUUAAUGUCGAUGCUAGUACAAAUAGUUCCCUGUUGUCGUGUGAGCCCUUGGCUGUGUCUUGCGUGCCAUGUUUGCAUUUGCGAGAAGGAGAAGUUAUACGAGCAAAAACUUCCUCUUUCAUGCAUUGUUGCCCUCGAGUUUCCAUUUUUGUUAUUUUAUCUGUUUAAAAUGCUUUUGUCUGUGUUGAAUAUUGUCACUGCAGAUUUUUCAAAAUAUAAGCUAAAGAAUCACAUCAUAUGGAAUCAUUUGCAUGUGAAGGAAAAUGUGCAGCGUAUGUUACUUGCAAACACAUGUAUUGAUGUACGUGUCACUUGAGGCCGGGUGUGAAGACUGACACUUUGUCACUGCUGGCUUUGGCAGUUUUUUCCCCCUUUGAAGCUGGUAACCCACACUUACCAACACGGCUCUCUGUACAGUUUAGCAGAAGUAAAAUGUAGCCAGGAGGCCUUGUAACACUGGCCUUCGGCAUUUAUAUCUGCAGCCUUCACAAUUUUGUCUUAUAAAUCGGGACUUAUUUUGGAGUUCCUUUGUUAUUUUGGGCUCCCCCUUUGAGUCUGGUUCUUCCAGAGGUUUCUUCUUGCUAGGGAGUUUUUAUUUUCCACUGUCUCUUCUGUCAUUGGGGAUAUUGGAUAAUAUGAAAAUGCGUGAUAGAAAAAUAAUUUGAUCUCAGUUAAACAGAGGACUGUAUACAGGCUUUGCUGAAACUGAUGCAUCUUGUUUUUUUUAUUAAUAAAAGAGGUUAUUUUUAA